CAGGUCGUGUUCAACUAUUUAUUAAACGAACAAUCUGAUUUGAGGGGAAUAUGAGUGGCGGGCUCGCGAACACCGAACUGGAUUGCCGGCACCAGCAUCCUCUAAUAAAUGACAUUUUAGGGCUUUUUUUUUGCAUUUAGCCUCCUCACAAAAUUUUUUUUUUCACAAAUAACCUCACAAAAUUUGUAAUUGCAAAAUUGACUCUAUACUCAUUACGCAAGUGCCACGUCAGCGGCCGACUUGCAUAAGUUGAAAACGGUGAAUCAUUUACUGUAUUUAAACACGACAAAUAGUUCACCGUGUUUAAGUUAAAAUGCACUGCGUGGUCGUUUGAGUUAUUUUGCACUGCAGGGUUGGCUACUGAUCAACCCGUCCAAACACGGUGAAUGAUUUACUGUAUUUAAACAUGGUGAAUUAUUCACCGUAUUCAACUUAGCCCUGUACAGCUGCUGACGUUGCGCUUACAUGGCACAUGGGUGACGGAAAUAGGGCCGGUUUUAUAAUUAUAAAUUUCGUGAGAAUAUUUGUGAAAAAAUAUUUAAAAGGAGACUAAGGGGGUGUUUGGUUUGAUAUAAAAAUGGAUGGAAAAGAAAUUUUCGGUGUAAAAAUUAUUUCCAGACUUGUUUAUCUGGUCGUAAAAAAAAUUUUCAGAAAAAAUAAUUUUAUGUAUUUGAGGGAAAAUUUUUUUUUU
rnacentral:lncRNA from 1 species